UCCCAGCGGCUCCUCCGGGGGGCUGCACAUGCUCGGUGCGGCUCCCGGCGACUCCCGGCAGCUCCCGGCGCGGCGCCCGGUGCGGCGCAGGGGAGCUCGGUUGCGGCUCCCGGUGAUUCCCGGUGCGGCUCCCGGCGGAGCUCCCGGUGCGGCUCCCGGCGAUUCCCGGUGCAGCUCCCGGUGCGGCUCCCGGUGCAGCUCCCGGCGAUUCCCGGUGCAGCUCCCGGUGCGGCUCCCGGUGAAGCUCCCGGUGCAGCUCCCGGUGCGCCCUCGGGAGCGCACGACCGAGCCCCGGGGCUGAGCCCUGCCCAUCCCAGCCUCACCACCGGCCCCGGGGCCGAGCUUUUCCCCGGCACCCACCCUCACCCCCCUCGGGCAGCAUGCCCCGCGGGCGAGCGUGGACGCAGGCGGAGGUCAGCAGCCUCCUGGCGCUGGUGGAGGGCUCGGGGGAGGCCGCCCUGCUCAUGGCCUCCACGUCGAGGCCCAACGAGGCACUGUGGCGGGAGAUCUCCCAAGGGCUGGCGGCGGCCGGCUACGGGCGCAGCGUGGCCCAGUGCCGCUCCAAGUGGAAGGCCCUCAAGCAGGCUUUCCACUCGGAGCGGGAGACGCGCCGGAGGGCCGGCUGCCACUCGCCCCGGCUGCCCCCGCACUACCGAGCUAUGAAGAGCAUCUGGAAGGCGGCCGGGCGGCCCGUCUUUGGCGAGCGGAGGAUGCCAGACCUGGUGAGGCAGCCCUCCAGGAAGCGCAGGUCAGCCCUUGCCGCCCGCUCUCCGUCCUCACCAGGGCCGCCAGGGCACGAUGCUGGCAAGGACGCCCCAGGUGUGCUGCUGUCCCCCCUGCUGCAGCGUGCGAAGGAUGAGCCAGACAGCCGUAAGUAUCGGUCUGCCCCGCUGCACCGGGCUGCACGGCCACGGCUCCAGCCCCAGUCCAUGCCAGCAUGA
rnacentral:lncRNA from 1 species